rnacentral:lncRNA from 1 species
AUGGAGCAAAAUCCGAAAAUCAAAAUUCGCCCAUCCGCCUCUCUCCACAGUCUCACCAUCCUUCCUCACGUGCCUUGAUCUGCUGCCAAAACCUCAUCACCCGAGUCUUCCUGAUCAUCCUUGGCAUCUCUUGAUCGUCCCUGGCUAUUCCUAAACGCUAAAAAGGUUUCGACGAGAUGCUUAUUCAUUUUCGUAAAUCCAAUGAUACUAAGAUUGAAACAUGGACCACGAAAACCGCAAGAUUGGCGUCAGCCUAAACGCGGCCAGGAAAGCAGAUAAAUCCAGGAAUAAUCAAUAUUCUUGCUAUUCGAAAUGGGCAGAUAGAC